rnacentral:tRNA from 1 species
ACCCCCAUGGCGCAAUGGAUUAGCGUGUUGGACUUCUAAUUCAAACGUUGUGGAUUCGAGUCCCAUCGGGGGUG